AGAGAGAGACAGAGAGAGAGAGAGACAGAGAGAGAGAGGUAUGGAUGUGGUAUACAACAAGGAGAGAGAGAGAGAGGUAAUGGAUGUGGUAUACAACAGGGAGAGAGAGAGAGAGAGAGAGAGAGAACAAAAAAACAUAGCAAACUAGAAUGCUAUUUGGCCCUACACAGAGAGUACACAGCGGCAGAAUACCUGACCACUGUGACUGACCCAAAAUUAAGGAAAGCCUUGACUAUGUACAGACUCAGUGAGCAUAGCCUUGCUAUUGAGAAAGGCCGCCGUAGGCAGACAUGGCUCUCAAGAGAAGACAGGCUAUGUGCUCACUGCCCAC
ensembl:lncRNA